UACGUAGGGUGCGAGCGUUGUCCGGAAUUAUUGGGCGUAAAGAGCUCGUAGGCGGUGUGUCGCGUCGGCCGUGAAAACCUGGGGCUUAACUCUGGGCGUGCGGUCGAUACGGGCAUCACUAGAGUUCGGCAGGGGAGACUGGAAUUCCUGGUGUAGCGGUGAAAUGCGCAGAUAUCAGGAGGAACACCGGUGGCGAAGGCGGGUCUCUGGGCCGAUACUGACGCUGAGGAGCGAAAGCGUGGGGAGCGAACAGG
rnacentral:rRNA from 1 species